UUAGGAGUGCUGGAAAAAGUGUAUCAUAGCCAAUGAGGUUAAUCUGAGGCGUGAUUAUUGCUAGUUGUAAACUUUAAGGAAUCUCUCAUUACGUUUUUUUAAAAAAUACAUAGAUUUUGUAUAUUGUGCCCAA
rnacentral:snRNA from 1 species